GUGGGGCUAUGAUGCAUUCCUAAAUGCAACUCCACUCCAUGGUAAAGUCAGUCCUCUGAACAAGAGACCCCUGUGCUGCUUGUCUAAGGACCAUUUUACUUGUUGCAUCCGCCACAAACAUCCGUUCUCCUACAACGUCACUCUGCACCUCUUGAAAGGUUGGCACUGACGAGAGGAAGGUAGUGGAAAACAGUCGGCUUUGGAGUACUUAACCCAAAUGAAUAGAUCUUGCAAAAACUCACACAAGUCAUUACAAACAGGAAAGGCUGCAAUACCGUUCGACACAAAACCGACAUCACCACUUUGGAAACUUUCCAUGUUGAUUUAGACCUAAUCAUAAGGUCAUUUUAGCUAACGUAUGAAGUCUGACGGGAAUUACCCACACUGAGCCCACUGUAAAUCAUGUAAUUCAAGUCUCGCCCCUUAAGAGCCUAAUAAAAAAGGCAUGAAAACAUAUGGCACUGUGCCAUAUUUAAAGAACCCCAAAUGUUGGCAACACGCAUGGAAGACAAGUAGAGGCGAGUUAAAGAUAGAUAAACGGUGCAGACGGCCGGACUUGAGCAUAAUUAAACUCUUAGACACCCCUGCGGCAUGUUUAUGAGCCCCCCCUCCUAAUGGGAUGUCUUUCUGCAGCCUCGGGUGAAGCCUAGGCUCGAAAGCUUUACUUGUGGGAGGACUGUUGAUGUCAUGUGGACACAUCGUAAAAAAAGAACAUCUGUGCAGCUCAAUGAAGCUGCUCAGGCCACUUUGUCAAUGCACCCCCACCACCAAUCACGUGCGGCCAUCCAUCACAGACUCCCUGCGUGGGUGUGUCCCCCCCCGCAGGAAAUGAUUGGAAUUAUGUUGUGACCAACAACCACCCAACAAGUGGAAAAGACAUCACGUAGCAUCGAUAAAACCUGCAAUGAAUUAGAUCUUCUGUGAGUAUGCCGUUUUGGAUUAGUGAUGCGGGGAGUCACCAGCUGAGUUUGUUUAGGGAAGAAAACUCCCAACAGGCCGUGGUACGUCAGUCACAACAUCAACAGCAUUUAUGAUUUUUUUUCAUAGUUCCCACAUGAUAGUUCGCCACUAAAUUUGGUCAAUCCAAAAGAACAUUUGAACAAACUCAAAUGUCACAUAUGUGCAAUACACUACAGUAAGUUGGCGAUGUUUCAGAAAAGUUCCAGGACUAGCAUCACAGAAGAUACAUUUCAAACCCAAACUAUGAGUUUUCCCCUUUCGAGUGGGCUUCUGGAAUCAACCGGGACAUCGACAGUGACAUGCUGCAGCGUUUGCUUGAUUGAAUGUAUGAGAAAAGGCAAGAGAAUAUUGCAGGACAACUUGUGGCUGCUUCACCAUGGCAACACGCUUGCUCACAAUGCACGAGACAGGCCGAGAAGAACAUUGGCGUGCUGAAGCACAAUGUCCCAUCACUGAUGAGCUAUUUAUAGAAUAUGCCUACGAGCUACUCAGGUGGUCCCUGUGGGCUACCUGGUUCCCACAGACAGCGAGAUGCUCCCUGUGGCAAACCCACCGCAAUCAACAUUAUGGGAAUUAUGAACACUGGCAACGUAUUUGUUGGACUUGUUUUCAUUCCAUACCAAAUCUAGACAAGCUCAACAACCAAAAUAAAGAUAACCACAAGGAACAGUCAGCUGUGAGAAUUGCAUUAGUGAUUAAACUCUUUCACAAUAACAUCAAUUGCUAUCACAGCAGAUGUUGUGUACACUUCACCUUAUCUUGUCACUAAAGACUUAGUCGACAAAACGUGCAUUUUGGUGUUGGUAUAGUCAUCGUGAUACUUUAUGUACAUUUGACCUCAUACCAUCUGCUCACACACGAGCCCUCCCUCUGAGUGGAAUAAAGAAGGUGUGUUGUAGGUGUUCGUUCACCUCCCAUCCUCCCCCACUCCUACAAGUGCACAUCCCAUCCAUGUUUCCAAUGAAAGGCUGCUCUUGUUUCUUAAUGCACCUGCUCCAGUGUAUUCAGAACACGGCCCGCUUGUCUCCAUCAUUUACUGCCACAAGUCAUGCAUUUUUGUUUUUUAGAUGUCUGUACUACACCCCCUUUCAAAUUACACUGCACUUGCGUCAUUUUUUUAUACACUCACUGUUCUUUGUCUUAAAUUGCAUUGCCUUAAAAAUAAUUUAUUUUGAACUACUAUAGAAAACUCAAGAAUUGAACUGCUUAAUAGGACUAUUUCUGCUGUGAGAAUGGAAGUAAAACACUGGCAUUGAUCUGUUGUGUGUGUCGUAGUAGAAUAGAACGCACGCAUAUUGCUUCGAGAUUCGCUUUCUUGCAAGUUAGAACUUGUUUGGAGAUGACUGUUGUUGUUUUUUUAACCAUUUGCUGCAGUAGUCUGUCAGUUCCUUACUUUCCCCUCACACCACAAGCUGGACACUUAAAGUGGAUUUUAUUCUUCUACCCGAAAACAGACCCACAGAAGCAAAACAUCAAGCAGCAAAACCUCAUGUUUAUAACACAGGGAUGCUCUGCGGUGCUGUGACGCGGCGGCCCGAAGAUCCGCUGGCUUGAUCCAAACGCGAGAAGCUGGGAGGCAACGAACGUGUUUGGGAGAAGAAGGGGGGAGGUGGAGGAGCGCGACGUUAGCUCAACAUGUGUCCCGAUUUGGUAUUAAACUGCUUCCCUGUCCCCA